rnacentral:rRNA from 1 species
CCUACGGGUGGCAGCAGUGAGGAAUAUUGGUCAAUGGGCGGAAGCCUGAACCAGCCAAGUAGCGUGCAGGCUGACGGCCCUACGGGUUGUCAACUGCUUUUAUACGGGAAUAACGCGCCUUACGUGUAGGGCUUUGCAUGUACCGUAUGAAUAAGGACCGGCUAAUUCCGUGCCAGCAGCCGCGGUAAUACGGAAGGUACGGGCGUUAUCCGGAUUUAUGGGGUUUAAAGGGAGCGUAGGCCGUCUGUCAAGCGUGCUGUGAAAUGUCCGGGCUCAACCCGGGCCUUGCAGCGCGAACUGGCGUGCUUGAGUCCGCGGAAAGCAGGCGGAAUUCGUCGUGUAGCGGUGAAAUGCUUAGAUAUGACGAAGAACCCCGAUUGCGAAGGCAGCUUGCUGCAGCGGAACUGACGCUGAUGCUCGAAAGCGCGGGUAUCGAACAGGAUUAGAUACCCCUGUAGUC